UAUUUUAUUUCGAGAAACACCCAUGCUUAUUUACUAGGACGAUUAACUGAACAACAUUAACAUAUGCAUGGGCCUUUAUUGCCUUUGGCGAACUAGGCUACAGCCUAGCCAAUCCUAGGAACCUCCGCCACCGUGUUGACCCAGAUGCGUACGCGCUUCUCAUUGAACUGCUGAGUAACAAAUGUUCCCACCGUGAUAGGCUGGACAUCGAGGUCCGGUCGAUCCGCUUUGAUCUUUUCCUCUGCCUCCUUGAUUGUACACCC